GGGCCGGUAGUUCAGCCUGGUGGAAUGCCCGCUUGGCAUGCGGGAGGUCGCGGGUUCAAAUCCCGCCCGGUCCA
rnacentral:tRNA from 1 species